rnacentral:rRNA from 1 species
AUUGAACGCUGGCGGCAGGCCUAACACAUGCAAGUCGAACGAGUGGCGGACGGGUGAGUAAUGUCUGGGAAACUGCCUGAUGGAGGGGGAUAACUACUGGAAACGGUAGCUAAUACCGCAUACCAUCGGAUGUGCCCAGCUGGGAUUAGCUAGUAGGUGGGGUAAAGGCUCACCUAGGCGACGAUCCCUAGCUGGUUUGAGAGGAUGACCAGCCACACUGGAACUGAUACACGGUCCAGACUCCGACGGGAGGGUGCAGUGGGGACUAUUGCACAAUGGGCGCAAGCCUGAUGCAGCCAUGCCGCUUGUAUGAAGAAGGCCUUUGGGUUGUAAAGUACUUUCAGCUGGGAGGCGUUACCCGCAGACGAAGCACCGGCUAACUCCGUGCCAGCCGCCGCGGUAAUUC